UCUGUAAAUUGGUGUAGCUCCUUUGGGACCAGUCAAACCAUGCCAAUACACAUCAGCCAAGGACCUGACAUGAGUGGAGUUACUGGGGGUUUGACUCUGUGCCAGCUGAGGAGCUGCUUCUGCUGGAUAGUACAUCAAGUAGAAGAGGAUGUCGAAGGGGCAAUUCAGCAGUGGGAGAUUUUAUUUUAUUUUUAAGCCUUGAGAAAAUGUAGGUGAAAUGGUGGCAUGAUGCUGACAGCUGGGGAGGGGGCGCUUCUGUUGCAAUUAAUACAGAAACCAGUGGCAAGCUGAAAGAUAUUCCUACUCCCUCAAAAAUAAAGUUAGGGGCUAAUUAUAGAUCUGCUGAUGUAAUGGGAACAUUCUGACCCACCAUUAUUGUCAUAAUCAUAGUUGUAAGUCUGGUAAAUUAAAAGGUCUGUUUUCCUUGCUUUCUGCGUUAAAAUCCAUUUCAUAACAUUUUGGGCUAUUUCAGGGAGGUUACAGGGCUCUGAAGGUGAUUAAACUUACUCAGUCAUCAGCAGCUUGACUUGUAACCCACCCAACAAGUGCUCAUAAUAGUAUUGCUUCAUUUUGUUAUUUCUCUUGAAAAUUUCUUAGGAGAAGGUGAGAUGUGGUCUAGGGAACCUCAAGUACCAGACUGAAAAAUGAGAGUUCUGUGCCACUGAUAUGAUCUGCUGUGUGUUCUGUUAAAAUCUUGGGGAGGCAGGGAGGAUGAUAACGAGGAGGAGAAGCAAUCUGUGGGUAUUGAGUCUUGUGUGUUGUCCUCCUGCAGUGCAGCAUGGAGCAGUGUGUGUACAGCAGCAGUAUGCUUUGUGGGGCAUCAUCCAGAGAGGACCAAGGAACGGGGAAUCUUCUGUGCCCUUCUGUGACUUCACUGUGUUAAUCCAAGCUCAGUCAUCAAAUGUUUGCUGACACACAGACUUUGUGUACUUUUUUCACUAGUUCAGCUACUGACCUAAGAAGAGAUCUGGAUGAAGAAUGGAUUUUUGACUUUUAUUGUGCAACUACAUUAACUCAGAUGAAUCCCUGAACUUGUCCAAAACAAUGCUGCUGUUGAAGCAUUGCAGAAUCAGAUAUUUUGAAAGUGGUGAGUGCAAUGGAAGACAACUUGAAGUGACCACAGCCAGUCAUCCAAAAUCCAGAAGAUUUGCCCACGGACUUCUCUCUGUUGCCAGUUUCUGUGACCAUGAAUGUCCAACUUUAGUAAUUUCCUGAGUGUUUGUCUAGUCUACAAGGCAACUCUGUGUGUCAGUUUAGCUAUUCAUUGCAGACCUUUGCAUUUGGUUAAAGAGGAUAUCUAAGCUGUAGUUAAUAUGACUUGAUCAGUUUGAACUCUUCAUGAAGUCCUCAGCUGUGAGAGGGGAUGGUACAUAUAACUUUAUUACUGGUCAUAAAGUAGUAAUGAUAAAAUGUGGGUAACAUCUUCCACCUCAUAUAUGGUAGCUUUCAUCUGACCUUUGCUCUAAAUUGGUUUGUUCAUUUUUUAUAAAACUGUUAAUCUGUUGAGUUUCCAACACUUGUUGCUUAUUAACAGAGAGGGUCUCAUGUAUGAAGUGGAGAUUGGUGGCUGCCUUGGCCAUAGCGACCAUGAAGCAGUCAGGUUUAAAAACUAUGGUAACAGGUGGAAAACUGCCAGUAAGACCUCAGCCCUGGACAUGAGAAGAGCAGACUUUAGGUUGCUCAGGGAACUGUUUAGUAAGGUCCAGUGGGAAAAGGCUUUUGAAGGUGCUGGGACCCAUCAGUGCUGGUCACUUUUUUAAGUACCACCGCCUAAGAGCACAGGAGCAGGCAAUUCCAAAGUGUAGGAAGUCAAGCAGGUGAGGCAGAAGGCUGGCUUGGCUGAGCAGGGAUCUUCUAGAAAUAAGGCAAAAAAGGAAAGUAUAUGGCCAGUAGAAGCAAGGUCAGGUGACAUGAGAAGACUACGCAGAUGCUGUUUGCCACUGUAGGGAGGAAAUUAAUGCA